CUGGUUUAUGUGCGAACCAUAAGGUGCUAUGUGGGGUGUCCAGUGUGGUAUUGUCUUCGAAAUAGUGUUGCAGAGCUGUGGUCAGUUCGCCUCUGAAUUGUGUCAUGAAGUAAAGGUGUUUAGUCUCCAUGGGCUGCAGUGCUUAAAGUCAUAUAAGUUCUUCAUGUCUACGGUGAUGGGCGCAUGAUCUGACCAGGUAAUGUCCCUGCACGAGGAACCUAUCGAUUCUGGAAUAGGAAUUGUGUACUGGUGAGAAUGAGUAGGAUUUUUCGGAUACAUGCGUUAGUCUCCACACAUCAUAGUAAUGUGUUGCUAGGAGUUUCUGUAUAGCCUUGCUCUGGCGUUAUAGGGGUCUGUAUCUAGCGCUGUGAGGUGAGAGGAUGGUGUCCAUUUUGGGGUCUAUAACAUGAUUAAAGUCACCACAGUUGACAGUAAUUCCUUGCUGUAUCGCAGAUAUUUUUUGGAGUAUUUUGUGUAGGAAAUUACGUUGAUUUGCGUUCGGGCAUAUGGGUUGACUAUUGUGUAUAAGGUGUUGUUUAUAGUUCCUACAACAACGUAACGGCCGUCAGCGUCAAUGUCUUGUGUAAUGAGGGAGAAGGAUAUCUUGGCACUAAUCAGUAUGGAUGUGCCUUUAGAUUUGGUUGAGGACGUUGCAUGGAAUUGAUGUGGAUAAGUGGUCGUUAGUAUGUGUCUCCUGCAGACAUGCUAUAUCAGCUCCCUGAGAUCUAAGUUCCUUGGUGAAUGUGCCUUUUAUGCGGGACGUUCAGGCAUUUUACAUUCAGAGAACAGAUUCUCAUGGAGGGUUAUAAUAUUGUUGUGAUAAACAUUUGUGUGGUAUAAUAUUGGCAGGGCUCGUUGCCCAUCCCAGCUUUCUCCAGCCAGGCAACGGGAUCCCCUUAUGAAAUGUGUUUAGCACUCGUCAUCUGACGUGUAACACCCAUAGAGAAGCUUCAGUAAGGCUGUCAUUGUCAGUAUUGGUGUGAACAUCAAACAAAAGGGCCCCCACAUGGCCCAAAAGAAAGGAACAGUAUAAAACAUCACUUUGGUACAAAUAAGUUGCAUGGCAUCGUGAAGCGUAGAGAGACAAAACAUACAUUUAAGCAACAUAAACCUAACGUUAACAUUAUUUAAUGCAGAUAACCUGGCUUGGCUCUGUCUAGCAGUGCCUUGGGGGAUGAAACUUAAGGUUUCAGUAGGAAUCAGGCGCUCCGCCGCGCCGGUCCAGUAUGCAAAGGAUAUUUAAUAUGACCCAUAGUCAGUGGUGUAUCCUUGUUUUGUGCUGCACUAGGCAUGACAAAACUCAGGCACCCCUUAGGUUGACUGGUAUUAUCUCUGUUAUGGUUUCACAUGUUGGGGAAACAUAACUAUUGUCGUUUAAAAACUUAAUAGGG